CUGCAACUCGACUCCGUGAAGCUGGAUUCGCUAGUAAUCGCGCAUCAGCCAUGGCGCGGUGAAUACGUUCCCGGGCCUUGUACACACCGCCCGUCAAGCCAUGGGAGCCGGGGGUACCUGAAGUCCGUAACCGCGAGGAUCGGCCUAGGGUAAAACUGGUGACUGGGGCCAAGUCGUAACAAGGUACC
rnacentral:rRNA from 1 species